GGGAUGAUUCAGAUCCUCUUCUUCAGCGUGGCAUUGGACGACAGAAAGAAGGAUUCGAACACACACUUCAAUUUACGUGCGCACAUCCAGGUCCUCCCCACUGUCGGGUGCGACGUCGACCGCUAGAGAGGAUAUGAGUCCUGGGGUGAGAUUAGAGGACAUAGUGGGUGAGCUAGUUGGGGACAGGGGAGCAUGGUGUGAGAUGGAGAGGGAAUGGGUGGUGGAGGCGACAGCGUUAGGCCUUGAGCUUCCGUCGACGGUGGUAAAGCACCGAGUUGGUUGCAAUUCGUUUCAGAAGGAAGAGGGAAGAAGACGGGAAGGAAACAGCGAGGGAGCCACGGAGGGAGAACACAACGCUGUGCAAUCAUCUCACUCUCCUAAACUACGACACCAGCAACAGGUUUGGACAGAACUCGCCCUUUUUGGAGCAGGUCGUGGCAAGAGAAGAGAAAUUUGAAUUGCAAUCUUUCCCAUCUUCUAUGUGUAAACAACUCCAAAUCGGAUAUUGAAGACUGCAUUUGAUGGAGUGCCUAAACAGCUUGUUAGCAUUGGGAGCAGUUUUCCAAGGGGUGUUCUGCUUCUAAAUUCUAUGUGUCUGAUUGAUAUUUUUCUGAUGAUUCAAAUUUUUGAUCUUUUAUCAUGGGUAAUAUUGUAAGAGAAUGGAUUCAGGGUUCUAGGUGGUGUUGUUUCUUCAAAAGCUGUUCCUUUGAAUGAGGUUUUGCUUAGAGCAUCAACUGUUAUUGGGUUUGGCAGUGAGGGCACUAGGUUGAGGCCUUUAGUUGAGAGAUCUUGUAUUCAGUUGACAAGAUUCCCUGGAAACGUUCACACUGUCUUUGCAAGGAUAAUUCAAGCAGAGGAAACUGAGAUAAUGGACCGUGGAUGCUCUGGUGAAGAGUUCCAAUCCUUCUUGGCUGUUGAAAGCUUGACUGUCUGUGUUGCAGUGGGAAUGCUUCUUCAUCAUUUUGCUUUGCUAGAAACAACAUCAAUGGCCAUAAUUUAUUGCUACGGUGAUAAGCAAACCUAUGCACUUAUUGCAAAUGCAUCAAAUGAUUUUUCACAUGAUUAUUUAACUUCUUGCGUGGAUUUUUACAGCCUAUAAGCAGUAUAGAAUUCUUGACUAGGCUCUGAGGUGUGCCUGUUGUUUCUUUGAGCAACUCAAUAGUUUGGGCUCAUUCAACUACUCAUAGAGUUAUUAGUACCUAUCAUAUGGUAGCUUAUGUAUGAAAUUUCAUUUGAAGAGAAGUAGGUUCUUGCUUUAGUCUCCAAUUGUACUUUAGUUUGCGUUUGUCCCUACAUGCUUCAUAUGUCACUGUGAGAGCCUAACAAUUCUAGCCACUCUUAUGUUUUUGAACCAGUCAACAACUAGAUUUUACUUGGCAAAUGAAGUACGUACUAAUCCACUAUGACUUCCAUUCUCUUAUGUUGCUUCUCAACUACAUUGCUUUAUUAGCUCUCAUUCCAUUUCUAAUACUGGCUUCAUGUCAUCUCCCACAAAAGUAGAGCUCAAUUUGGUUGUUGAGGCCUGGGCAAUCUGACCUGAGUCUCUCAUGUAUGUGUCUGUUGGUGUCAUAAAAUGAGUGGCUGGUUUAAUGCAACAUGUUGAUCGCAGGUUCAAAACUUGGAAACAACCUCUUCUGCGAAGCAGGGUCAGGCUGCAUACACUUGCCCCUCCCAAACCCUGCAGUAGCAAGAGCCUUGUGCAUUGGGUUGCUCUUUUUUUUUUUUUUAAUAGUGAUAUUUAAGUUAUAAAUCCACGAGUACAGAUGAUAACACUGAUUUUCAUCUUCAGGUUGCAUGAUCUAUUUAUCUAAAGCUUCAGAUCAUUUGGCUUGGUUCAGAGAUCCAACUGGUCAACCUAGCUGAUAUCCCCUUAGUUGUGUUGUGUUCUAACGUUUUGAUUUAUUGGCUUUACACAUGAAUGGGUCAAUGAAUUCAUGAUUUAACAGCUUCAGACUUUACUUCCAGUUUUUGAUAAUUCUUAAGUAAUGGCUUAUGUUGGGUUUCAUGGAGUUCCUGAUCUGAUGCUCUAUGGGAUUCGUCUUAUUUUGAUGUUCAAAAUUUUGAAAUACUUGCUUUAACUGUUUCGUUUUAUAGUAUGUAUGAUGUGGCUUUUACUCCAACCAUGAAAUGUCUCAAUGACAAAUAAGCAAGAGGGACUUGCUUGAUGUGGCUUUUACUCCAACCAUGAAAUGUCUCAAUGACAAAUAAGCAAGAGGGACUUGCUUGCUGUAUAACCGUGGCAUGUAUUUUUAUUUCCCUUUUUGCUAGUUUUAAAUCUAGGUUAUGCCCUUGUUCUAUAAAGGAAAAGCAUGACUUCACUCAUUUCUAGUUUGACUUGUUUAAAUCUGAAAAUUUUGAUACUAUUGUUCUUAAUUAUUCAAUCAUAAUUGCUCUCAUUUGCAUUUUUGUAUGAAAGUCUUUAGCUCAAAUAGAUAGAGCAUUUGGGGAUUCCCCAAGAGGUGGUGGUUCAAAUCCAUCAAGACUCUUGAAUGUUCUUAUGUCUAAUUUCUUAUCCAUUUGGGUCGUGGGAUCGAUAUAGAUCGGUUCCUAAUAUCGAGACGUUGGUGCAUAUGACAAAAA